UAAAGCAAAGAAGAGCGCAGAGUGAAUGCCUUGGCAUUGGGAGCCGAUGAAGGACGUGGUUAACUGCGAUAAGCUGCGGGGAGCUGUAAGCAAGCUUUGAUCCGCAGAUUUCCGAAUGGAGCAAUCCACAUGAAGUAGUUCAUGUAUCCAUACGUGAAUUCAUAGCGUAUGGAGGGGAACCGCCUGAACUGAAACAUCUAAGUAGGGCGAGGAAGAGAAAUCAACCGAGAUUCCGUAAGUAGUGGCGAGCGAACGCGGAAGAGGCCAAACCGAGAGAAGAAAUUCUUUCGGGGUUCGGACUGCAUUUAGUAUUCUUGAUCUUUAGUCGAACAGUCUGGGAAGGCUGACGAGAGAGUGUGAUAGUCACGUAGACGAAAAGGAGAAAGAGCGAGCAGUAUCCAGAGUACCGCGGGGCACGUGAAAUCCCGUGGGAAGAUGGGGGGACCACCCUCCAAGCCUAAAUACUACCCAAUGACCGAUAGCGUAAAGUACUGUGAAGGAACGGUGAAAAGAACCCCGGGAGGGGAGUGAAAAGAACCUGAAACUCUGUGCUUACAAGCACAUAGAGCACGUCAAUGUGUGAUAUGGUACCUUUUGUAGAAUGGUCCGGCGAGUUAUGGUAUGCAGCGUGGUUAAGGACUUCAGGUCUGAAGCCGAAGCGAGAGCGAGUCUGACAAGGGCGAAAAGUUGUAUGCCAUAGACCCGAAACCGGGUGACCUAGCCAUGUCCAGGCUGAAGUGGAGGUAAAACUCCAUGGAGGGCCGAACCGACCUCCGUUGAAAAGGCGGCGGAUGAGAUGUGGCUAGCGGAGAAAUUCCAAUCGAACCCGGAUAUAGCUGGUUCUCCCCGAAAUAGCUUUAGGGCUAGCGUUGUAUUAGAUUACCGGAGGUAAAGCACUGAAUGGGCUAGGGGCUGAGAAGUUACUGAACCCUAUCAAACUAAGAAUGCCGGAUAAUUGAUGUACAGCAGUCAGACUAUGUGAGAUAAGUCUCAUAGUCAAAAGGGAAACAGCCCAGACCCACAGCUAAGGUCCCAAAAUGGAUUUAAGUGGAAAAGGAUGUGGAAUUGCACAGACAACCAGGAUGUUGGCUUAGAAGCAGCCACUCAUUAAAAGAGUGCGUAAUAGCUCACUGGUCGAGUGACUCUGCGCCGAAAAUUCAACGGGGCUAAAAUUCAUACCGAAGCUUGGGCUUGACAGAAAUGUCAGGGGUAGGGGAGCGUCGUAUACGAGGUGAAGUCAUAGCGGAAGCGGUGGUGGAUUGUAUACGAGUGAGAAUGCCGGAAUGAGUAGCGAGAAUUAUGUGAGAAUCAUAAUGGCCGAAAGUCUAAGGUUUCCUGAGGAAGGUUCGUCCUCUCAGGGUUAGCCGGGAGCUAAGGUGAGGCGGAAACGCGUAGCCGAUGCACAUACGGUAGAAAUUCCGUAGCCUCCGAAGAUUUAAGCACAGGGACACUUUUGAAGGGCUGAGCCGGGCGUUGGUUGCCCCGGUCGAAAGGGACACGAUUGAGUGGAAGUCAGUUUGGAAAGAGGCGAGAAAAGCUGUGUGUAUAUGAAAGGAGCCCGUACCGCAAACCGACACAGGUAGACAGGAAGAAGAUUCUAAGGCCAGCGGGAGAAGGGUUGUUAAGGAACUCGGCAAGUUGACCCCGUAACUUCGGGAGAAGGGGUGCUUACGAAGGUAAGCCGCAGAGAAUAGGCCCAAGCGACUGUUUAGCAAAAACACAGCUCUAUGCUAAAUCGAAAGAUGACGUAUAUGGGGUGACACCUGCCCGGUGCUGGAAGGUUAAGAGGAGAUGUGAGAGCAUUGAAUUGAAGCCCCAGUAAACGGCGGCCGUAACUAUAACGGUCCUAAGGUAGCGAAAUUCCUUGUCAGGUAAGUUCUGACCC
rnacentral:rRNA from 1 species